rnacentral:rRNA from 1 species
UACGUAGGGUGCAAGCGUUAAUCGGAUUCACUGGGCGUAAAGGGUGCGUAGGCGGUCGGGUAAGUCUGAUGUGAAAUCUCACAGCUUAACUGUGAAACUGCAUUGGAUACUAUCCGGCUCGAGGAAUGGAGGGGAGACUGGAAUACUUGGUGUAGCAGUGAAAUGCGUAGAUAUCAAGUGGAACACCAGUGGCGAAGGCGAGUCUCUGGACAUUUCCUGACGCUGAGGCACGAAAGCCAGGGGAGCAAACGGG